rnacentral:rRNA from 1 species
AAACUCAAAGGAAUUGACGGGGACCCGCACAAGCGGUGGAUGAUGUGGAUUAAUUCGAUGCAACGCGAAGAACCUUACCUACCCUUGACAUGUCCGGAACUUGCCAGAGAUGGCUUGGUGCCCGAAAGGGAAUCGGAACACAGGUGCUGCAUGGCUGUCGUCAGUUCGUGUCGUGAGAUGUUGGGUUAAGUCCCGCAACGAGCGCAACCCUUAUCAUUAGUUGCUACGCAAGGGCACUCUAAUGAGACUGCCGGUGACAAACCGGAGGAAGGUGGGGAUGACGUCAAGUCCUCAUGGCCCUUAUGGGUAGGGCUUCACACGUCAUACAAUGGUCGGUACAGAGGGUUGCCAACCCGCGAGGGGGAGCUAAUCCCACAAAGCCGAUCGUAGUCCGGAUCGUAGUCUGCAACUCGACUACGUGAAGUCGGAAUCGCUAGUAAUCGUGGAUCAGAAUGUCACGGUGAAUACGUUCCCGGGUCUU